rnacentral:ncRNA from 1 species
GCUGGCGACAUUCUUAACACAUUCAAGUUGGAUGGGAAGUGGUGUUUCCAAUGGAAGACGGGUGAGUAACACGUAAGAACCUGCCCUUGGGAGGGGAACAAUAGCUGGAAAUGGUUGCUAAUACCCCAUAGGCUGAGGAGCAAAAGGAGGAAUCCUCCCAAGGAGGGGCUCGCAUCUGAUUAGUUAGUUGGUGAGGCAAUGGCUUACCAAGGUGACGAUCAAUAGCUGGUCUGAGAGGAUGAUCAGCCACACUGGGACUGAGACACGACCCAGACUCCUACGGGAGGCAGCAGUGGGGAAUUUUCCACAAUGGGCGAUAGCCUGAUGGAGCAAUGUCGCGUGAAGGUAGAAGGCCCACGGGUCAUGAACUUCUUUUCUCGGAGAAGAAACAAUGACAGUAUCUGAGGAAUAAGCAUCGGCUAACUCUAUGCCAGCAGUCGCGGUAAGACAGAGGAUGCAAGCAUUAUUCGCAAUGAUUGGGCGUAAAGCGUCUGUAGGUGGAUUUUCAAGUCCGUCGUCAAAUCCCAAGGCUCAACCCUGGACAGGCAGUGGAAACUACCAAGAUGGAGUACGGUAGGGGCAGAGGGAAUUUUCGGUGGAGCGGUGAAAUGCGUUGAGAUCGAAAAGAACACCAACGGCGAAAGCACUCUGUUGGGCCGACACUAACACUGAGAGAUGAAAGCUAGGGGAGCAAAUGGGAUUAGAUACCCCAGUAGUCCUAGAUGUAAACGAUGGAUACUAAUUAUUGUGCGUAUCGACCCACGCAGUGUUGUAGCUAACGCGUUAAGUAUCUCGCCUGGGGAGUACGUUUGCAAGAAUGAAACUCAAAGGAAUUGACGGGGGCCCGCACAAGCAGUGGAGCAUGUGGUUCAAUUCGAUGCAAAGCGAAGAACCUUACCAGGGCUU